rnacentral:rRNA from 1 species
AACGAACGCUGGCGGCAGGCUUAACACAUGCAAGUCGAACGCCCCGCAAGGGGAGUGGCAGACGGGUGAGUAACGCGUGGGAAUCUACCUAGUUCUACGGAACAACAGAGGGAAACUUCUGCUAAUACCGUAUACGCCCUAAGGGGGAAAGAUUUAUCGGAAUUAGAUGAGCCCGCGUAAGAUUAGCUAGUUGGUGGGGUAAUGGCCUACCAAGGCGAUGAUCUUUAGCUGGUCUGAGAGGAUGAUCAGCCACACUGGGACUGAGACACGGCCCAGACUCCUACGGGAGGCAGCAGUGGGGAAUAUUGGACAAUGGGCGCAAGCCUGAUCCAGCCAUGCCGCGUGGGUGAUGAAGGCCCUAGGGUUGUAAAGCCCUUUCGGCGGGGAAGAUAAUGACGGUACCCGCAGAAGAAGCCCCGGCUAACUUCGUGCCAGCAGCCGCGGUAAGAC